GACGAACGCUGGCGGCGUGCUUAACACAUGCAAGUCGAGCGGUAAGGCCCUUUCGGGGGUACACGAGCGGCGAACGGGUGAGUAACACGUGGGUGACCUGCCCUCAGCUCUGGGAUAAGCCUGGGAAACCGGGUCUAAUACUGGAUAUGACUCCAUGACGCAUGUUGUGGGGUGGAAAGCCUUGUGCGGCUGAGGAUGGGCCCGCGGCCUAUCAGCUUGUUGGUGGGGUGAUGGCCUACCAAGGCGACGACGGGUAGCCGGCCUGAGAGGGCGGACGGACACACUGGGACUGAGACACGGCCCAGACUCCUACGGGAGGCAGCAGUGGGGAAUUGUUCGCAAUGGGCGCAAGCCUGACGACGCAACGCCGCGUGGAGGAUGAAGACCUCGGUCGUAACU
rnacentral:rRNA from 1 species